rnacentral:rRNA from 1 species
GUGGGGAAUCUUGCGCAAUGGGCGAAAGCCUGACGCAGCCAUGCCGCGUGAAUGAUGAAGGUCUUAGGAUUGUAAAAUUCUUUCACCGGGGACGAUAAUGACGGUACCCGGAGAAGAAGCUCCGGCUAACUUCGUGCCAGCAGCCGCGGUAAUACGAAGGGGGCUAGCGUUGCUCGGAAUUACUGGGCGUAAAGGGCGCGUAGGCGGACAGCUUAGUCAGAGGUGAAAGCCCAGGGCUCAACCUUGGAAUUGCCUUUGAUACUGGCUGUCUUGAGUGUGGGAGAGGUGAGUGGAACUCCGAGUGUAGAGGUGAAAUUCGUAGAUAGUCGGAAGAACACCAGUGGCGAAGGCGACUCACUGGCCCAAUACUGACGCUGAGGCGCGAAAGCGUGGGGAGCAAACAGGAUUAGAAACCCGAGUAGUCC